CUCCAAAAACAUUAGAGAGAGAGAGAGAGAGAGAGAGAGAGAGAGAGAUCCUAGGCUAAGGAAGCCAUUUUGAUCAAAAUUCGAGCUCCGAAUCCCGAAGCUCAUGAAGAGAAAAACGUUGUACGUUGCGUUGCCUUCAAUUUGAGAUAAAUAUUGGUCUUGGGGGAUGAAAUUUUCGUGGUGGAGCUUCUGAUAAGGUUUUGGGCGAAACGGAGAUUGAGUUUGGACAAGCGUGAGUAGCGCGAAAGGUACUCAGGUGAGUUGAAGACAGUAUAGAAGAUGUUCCAGUGCAGAUGGCAAGCUCCAUUUGUUCCCGGAGUGCUGCCGAGUCAGAGUUGGUAUGUUAUGCUUUCUGGAUUACGUUAGAGACUUUGCAGACAGUGUCGUGGGUAUUGGUUGUCAGUCUGUAAGCGGCUCCGACAGCCAAAAUGUCGGUCUGUGUUAUGUACUGAAUUUUGUAUGAUUAUUGAUUCGUUAUGCUUGGAAGCUACGUGAAAGAAUAUUUCUGGAAAAAAAAAAUACGAUGUAUUUCAUCUCAUUUGAUUUGAAAAGUUUGACAUGAUUUUAUGUGCAGCAAGAGUCUGAGGGUUCGCUCGGCCCUAGGUAAGGGUCGGGUGCCCAUCACACCCUAGCGGAAUUAGGGUGUGACACUUUUAUCCUCACUUUUUCAAGAACUCUCCAAUAUUUUUCAUAUUACACAAGGUUAGGAUGACUAACUAUUUAUAGUUAACAACAUCAUCCUUGAAUUGAAUAGGAUAAGAGUGGGCUAAUAAUGUGAGUAAAUAAUGGGAGAAUUAUGGCUUAGAGGUGACAUGAGUUAUAAGACUAAAGAAGAUGAAUGUAGGUAAAUAAAUGAUUUAGUGGGAAGAUGAAAGUAAGGCCACAUUCAACCAUAUUAAACGUGAGAAUGAAAGCCAUUUCUAUCACUUUUAUGGCCAUUAACGUAUAGGAGUAAUUAGACACAAUAAGGCAGUUUAAUAAUAUUAUUGUGUAAUAUUAAAAUGCUAAUAACCCAACAGAUUAUUCAACCCAUCUUACAUAGAAAAAGUCACUCUGUGUUUGAAAAUAGAUGGGUUUGUACUCUUGACGAUUCAUGUUUUUGAAAUAUGGAUCAUAUAUAGAUCUGGUGAUAUAAAGCAGUCUAUUGUUGGUUACUUUGUACAAUUACAUUAUUCUCGAAUAUAUUAUUCUCAAAGAUGAAAUUUUUUACAUUGUUGAUAAUAAUGAGAGGUGAGUGCUUUCUAAAUUGGGAUUUGUUGUCUGAAAGUGCUGGGUGAGAGGGAUUUAUGAAUGAAUAUAUUUAUUGCUCAAUCUGUGUUUAGUGGGGAUAAAAUGUUUCUUUUGAUGAGGUCUUGUUGGCCUUGUUGAUGGUUGGAAAGUAUUUGAGUAUUGAUUUGAAAUAUGAUCUUGAAUACAAUGAGAAUGUUGAGUUUUAUAAGAAAUUUUGAUUUCACACGGUGAAAGUCCGAUUAAGUUUGAAGUUUAUAAGUUGGAUAGAGAUAAUGCAAAAGUUGGUUGAAGUCACCGAUUUGAAACAUGGGAUACUGUUUGUCGAGAAUAAUCGUACGUUUUAUGCUUUGGCUUAUGAGCUUGAUUGUGAGUGUAACGGAAACUAUGUAUUCUUCAAGGAUCAAUUUUUCUAAUUUUGUACAGACAAAAAAAGGUCAGUCGAUUUCAUGAGUCAAUAGUUCCAUAUUGAUUAAAAUGGUUAAAUAAUACUAAAUAAUUGAGGUUUUAAGCUUGAACACACAGAUUAAGAAAUUCGCUAACUCCUAAAAAUCGAGAGGAGUAUUGACUUAAUUACCCUUAAUUAUGAUUUUCUUUCUUUUUAGGUUGACGUAAUUAUUAUGAGGAUAUAGGAAUAUGUCAAGGGCAAAUUUUAAAAAAAGAACUAAAUGAUUUCUUAAUUUUGUAAAACAUCAAUAAUU